GCCUGUCCCCAUAGGAUAACCUUUUUUUGGUUCCAGGUAGAACCCUUUUGGGUUCCAUGUACAACCUUUCCAUAGAGGGUUCUACCUGGAACCAAAAAGGGUUCUAUGAGGACAGCUGAAUAACUGUUUUGGAACCCAUUUUUCUAAGAGUGUAGGGUUAUGGCAUGGUCAGACAGGUGACUAAGCUCACCACAUUUAUACAAACCAUGGUCACCUAACCCUGAGACCUUCCAGUAGGCCAUGGAUACGCCUAUUGUCUGGGGAAGGUCCAGAUGUAAACAGAAGCUGACCCCCUCCUCCAUUACUACACUAAAAUCACUGGUUGGAAAUUCUUCUCCAGAGUGAGGGAGUCUGGUAGCGCCAUUGGCCCCCAGCCCCCAGCUAUAGCCAACACAGCAGGGCCUCACUAAGGUACACCAUUUACCCCUGAGACCAACCCUGCCACAGUGGCAUCUAGACCAGGGGUUAAACAAACAGCACAAACAGCACACCCCUGGAACCAGUUAUGAUGCAGUGCUAUUGAAGCUGGUGGUGAGGCAGACGGUACAGGUGGAGGUGGGAGAACCGGAACGGUACCAUUCCAGCAUGGCUCUGUCUCUGUCUCAGUCCCUGUUACUGAAGUGGUUCUGGUCUCUGACUCUAUCUUAGACCCCUGUCCUGGGCCUUGCCAUGGGGUCUCAGACCCUGACCAAAGUCACAAGCCUUCCAAUGACCAUAGACAUGACAUUGCAUCCUCUUAAACCCAAUCAUUUGGCUGAGCCUAACCCUAACAUAGACUUUGAACUUAACACUUGCCCUGCCUCUUACUCCUCAGCACCAAACUGUCCCUCAGCUCUGACUCCUACCAGAACCCCUUAGUGAACCGUGUCCCUCACCCUAAUCCUAACCUUAACAACUCAGGGGAAACUAGAUCACUCCAGGCACUUGAUCAUAACCCUGCAGAUAGUCCUGACCAGAACCCCUUAGUGAGCACUGUCAAAUCAAAUCAAAUGUUAUUUGUCACAUGAGGUGUAGACACAGUGAAAUGCUUACUUACAAGCCCUUAACCAACAAUGCAGUUUUAAGAAAAUACCUAAAAAAAGUAAGAGAUAAGAAUAACAAAUGAUUAAAGAGCAGCAGUAAAUAACAAUAGCGGGGCUAUGUACAGGGGGUACUGGUACAGAGUCAAUGUGUGAGGUAAUUGAGGUACAUGUAGGUAGAGUUAUUAAAGUGACUAUGCAUAGAUAAUAACAGAGUAGCAGCAGC
rnacentral:lncRNA from 1 species